GGCUGCACGACCAAUAUGACUAAACACCUCUGACUUCAUGGAAUACAAGUGCUGAGUACCAAGUGCAUAGCUGAGUGCAACGUAUUUGACACACUGCGCCGUCAGAACCAGGUCAUGGCAAAGACCUCCAUUCCCUGAUCACUCAUACCAAGAAGGGCAACAGGGGGCUGGAACUUCUAUCAGAUAACUUCAGGCAAAGGAUGGACUACACUGGUUGCCACACAUUUCAUACGUUCUAAUUGAAUUUCAUAGCAAAGGGUCAGCUGCUCAUGUCGCCACUGACCAGACUUUGACACAGUGAGUUAAAUGUGUCUUAAUUCUGUCAAGGGAAUGGAACUAAUGCAUUUGUCACCAGGUUGCAUCAGCCAAAUUAUUUCUCCAGACAGCAAAUUUCACAGACAAGGCAGAAGGAAAUCAAGACUAAA